AUUGAACGCUGGCGGCAUGCCUUACACAUGCAAGUCGAACGGCAGCACGGGAGCAAUCCUGGUGGCGAGUGGCGAACGGGUGAGUAAUACAUCGGAACGUACCUGGUAGUGGGGGAUAGCCCGGCGAAAGCCGGAUUAAUACCGCAUACGACCUGAGGGUGAAAGCGGGGGAUCGCAAGACCUCGCGCUAUUGGAGCGGCCGAUGGCAGAUUAGGUAGGUGGUGGGGUAAAGGCCUACCAAGCCUGCGAUCUGUAGCUGGUUUGGGAGGACGCCCGGCCACAAUGGGACUGGGACACGGCCCAGGCUCCUACGGGAGGAAGCAGUGGGGAAUUUUGGACAAUGGGCGCAAGCCUGAUCCAGCCAUGCCGCGUGCGGGAAGAAGGCCUUCGGGUUGUAAACCGCUUUUGUCGGGGAAGAAACGGUGGAGGUUAAUACCUUCUGCUAAUGACGGUACCCGAAGAAUAAGCACCGGCUAACUACGUGCCAGCAGCCGCCGUAACAC
rnacentral:rRNA from 1 species